rnacentral:rRNA from 1 species
GAUGAACGCUGGCGGCGUGCCUAAUACAUGCAAGUCGAGCGAACGGACGAGAAGCUUGCUUCUCUGAUGUUAGCGGCGGACGGGUGAGUAACACGUGGAUAACCUACCUAUAAGACUGGGAUAACUUCGGGAAACCGGAGCUAAUACCGGAUGAUAUUUUGAACCGCAUGGUCCAAAGGUGAAAGACGGUCUUGCUGUCACUUAUAGAUGGAUCCGCGCUGCAUUAGCUAGUUGGUAAGGUAACGGCUUACCAAGGCAACGAUGCAUAGCCGACCUGAGAGGGUGAUCGGCCACACUGGAACUGAGGCACGGUCCAGACUCCUACGGGAGGCAGCAGUAGGGAAUCUUCCGCAAUGGGCGAAAGCCUGACGGAGCAACGCCGCGUGAGUGAUGAAGGUCUUCGGAUCGUAAAACUCUGUUAUUAGGGAAGAACAUAUGUGUAAGUAACUGUGCACAUCUUGACGGUACCUAAUCAGAAAGCCACGGCUAACUACGUG